GCUAUUUCAUGUUGGAUAAUCUAGUAGCAGAGCUAUAUUAGAUCGAGGGAUCUUAAUUUGGUGGCAGCUACUAGGCAUAGAUCUUGUUCAGCCUCAGAACUUCUUCAAAGUUUGUCUCAAAAAAGCUUGGAUUUAAGCCAUGUAUCUCCUAUUUUGGGUUUUACUUCUUGGAGGCUACCUCCUCGUAACUUUUUCAAGUUCAAUACAAAUGUUAGUUGGUUCGAUCACAAAUCUUGAGCAGUAGCGGCAGUGAUGGUUUGAGAUCAUCGGGGAAAACUUAUGGAUGGC
rnacentral:misc_RNA from 1 species